ACUCCUACGGGAGGCAGCAGUGGGGAAUAUUGCACAAUGGGCGCAAGCCUGAUGCAGCCAUGCCGCGUGUGUGAAGAAGGCCUUCGGGUUGUAAAGCACUUUCAGCGGGGAGGAAGGCGGUGAGGUUAAUAACCUCACCGAUUGACGUACC
rnacentral:rRNA from 1 species